rnacentral:rRNA from 1 species
AAACCAACAGGGAUUGCCUUAGUAGCGGCGAGUGAAGCGGCAAAAGCUCAAAUUUGAAAUCUGGUACUUUCAGUAUCCGAGUUGUAAUUUGUAGAAGCAACUUUGGUGAUGGUCUUUGCAUAAGUUCCUUGGAAUAGGACGUCAUAGAGGGUGAGAAUCCCGUAUAUGGUGAAGAACCCACACUAUGUAAAGUGCUUUCGAAGAGUCGAGUUGUUUGGGAAUGCAGCUCAAAGUGGGUGGUAAAUUCCAUCUAAAGCUAAAUAUUGGCGAGAGACCGAUAGCGAACAAGUACUGUGAAGGAAAGAUGAAAAGAACUUUGAAAAGAGAGUGAAAAAGUACGUGAAAUUGUUGAAAGGGAAGGGAUCUAAAUCAGACAUGGUAUUUUGUGAUCAACAGUCUUUCGGGAUUGUGCACUCGCAUUUUACUAGGCCAGCAUCGGUUAGAAGGGGGUAAAAAAGAUUUUGGAAUGUGGCUCCUCGGAGUGUUAUAGCCAAAGUUAAUUGCCCCAUUUCUGACCGAGGACCGCGUCUUUUGACUAGGAUGCUGGCGUAAUGGUUUUGAUCCACCCGUC